UACGGAGGGUGCAAGCGUUAAUCGGAAUUACUGGGCGUAAAGCGCACGCAGGCGGCUGAGUCAGUCGAUUGUGAAAGCCCUGGGCUUAACCUGGGAAUUGCAGUCGAUACUACUCAGCUAGAGUAUGGGAGAGGGCAGUGGAAUUCCCGGUGUAGCGGUGAAAUGCGUAGAUAUCGGGAGGAACAUCAGUGGCGAAGGCGGCUGCCUGGCCCAAUACUGACACUCAGGUGCGACAGCGUGGGGAGCAAACAGG
rnacentral:rRNA from 1 species